UACGUAGGGUGCGAGCGUUAAUCGGAAUUACUGGGCGUAAAGCGUGCGUAGGCGGUUCGUUAAGUUCGUUGUGAAAGCCCCGGGCUCAACCUGGGAAUGGCAAUGGAAACUGGCGGGCUGGAGUAUGGCAGAGGGGGUGGAAUUCCGCGUGUAGCAGUGAAAUGCGUAGAGAUGCGGAGGAACACCGAUGGCGAAGGCAGCCCCUGGGCCAAUACUGACGCUCAGGCACGAAAGCGUGGGGAGCAAACAGG
rnacentral:rRNA from 1 species